CACGUUAUCCAAAACUGAUCAAGCAAACCAGAGAGCAUGCAUCGCGGCUGGGCUUGUGGUAGAGGUGCCUGAAUAUCUCGACGAUCAGCUCUUCAGGGAGACAAGUAUUGAUCCAAUCAUGGCCUUGCAUGUUAGAAAGAACAAAGGGAAUUCUAAAAUGGGAAUGAAAUUAGUUGAAUUCGUACGGAGUGGAGAUGAAAUUAUGGUUUCCGAGAGAUUGGAGUGUGAUACAUGAAGAAAUGUUAUCAGGUGGAAAUUCAAAGGAAAUCCGUGGACGAAGUGGGUUACUGCACUGUGAAUUCAAAAUGGACCCAUUUUCAAAAUCUUUUAUCAAAAGCCGACAUAGAAGGACAAGCUUAGAAUUUGAGGGGAAAUAUUUUAUACAUCAUUCGCAUAACAGAGGACAUUAAUUUUAAGCACAAAGUUGCACAACAACUAAGAAAAAAGGAACAGGGACCAAGACACGAAGCUGAAGAGAAAGGCACAAAUCCUCAAGGUAAGGAAAUGACAAUGGGCGUCAGAUUAGGGAUAUACGAUUGCAACUGGCAACUGAAAGUCAUAAUGGAUUGUAAUUGAAAGUUAUAAUGGGGAGCUCUGAUAUUAUGGAUAUCAACUUAGGAUAACCCUAAAAGUUAAUUAUCCAGGUUGAAAAGUUCAAGUCUAUAUAUACUCCAUAUUGAAAUUACAUGCUUGCAA
rnacentral:misc_RNA from 1 species